rnacentral:rRNA from 1 species
UAGGGAAUCUUCCGCAAUGGGCGAAAGCCUGACGGAGCAACUCCGCGUGAGUGAUGAAGGUCUUCGGAUCGUAAAACUCUGUUAUUAGGGAAGAACAAAUGUGUAAGUAACUAUGCACGUCUUGACGGUACCUAAUCAGAAAGCCACGGCUCACUACGUGCCAGCAGCCGCGGUAAUACGUAGGUGGCAAGCGUUAUCCGGAAUUAUUGGGCGUAAAGCGCGCGGAGGCGGUUUUUUAAGUCUGAUGUGAAAGCCCACGGCUCAACCGUGGAGGGUCAUUGGAAACUGGAAAACUUGAGUGCAGAAGAGGAAAGUGGAAUUCCAUGUGUAGCGGUGAAAUGCGCAGAGAUAUGGAGGAACACCAGUGGCGAAGGCGACUUUCUGGUCUGUAACUGACGCUGAUGUGCGAAAGCGUGGGGAUCAAACAGG